rnacentral:lncRNA from 1 species
GUUGAAUAUCACCGUGGUGGGUCACAGAAAGUCAAAACAGGAAGGAACCCUGGAGAUCAUGAGAUAGGUAAGUGCUGAGUCCAGGCCCUGGGGUGUUACAGGCACACAAAAAAUUAAUGUCCUCCCUUUAGAGGUCAUCUUGUCCAACCACCAUCUUUGUUUUUAAAGUUGUUUAAGUGUGCAAUUUACUUUAGUAUAUUCGCAAAGUUGUGCAAUCAUCUUGCCACCCAAUCCCAGAACAUCGUCGUCACCGCAGAAGAAGCCACACUCCUAGUAGCAGGCAUGUCCCGGUCCCCUUCCAACAGGCCGUGGCAACCACCAAUUAUCCUAUUUUAAAAACAGAGAAACUGAGGCCCAGAGUGGGCAGUGCCUUACUAAUGUCACAUUGCCAGCCAAUGGCAGAGCCAGGCUAGAGCCCAGGGCCUCCUGACGCCCCACCUACUACAGUCAGGCAGCAAGUCUGAGCUCUCCCUGGCACCCUCAGCAUACUCUGAGACCGACAUGAAAGAGGGGUUGGGCAAAGGCCUGUGGAAUGGAGGCCCCUGGGUAAGAGAGACCAUACAAUCUGUAACUGUGCCCUUAAAGUCCGGAGCCUGCUGUUCCCAGAAUGGAGCCAAGGGUAUUGAGGAGCAGGAGACACAUGGAGGGAUCAUUUCCUUCUGUCCCCUGCUUCUACAAAGCUGGCAUCCCUCCAGAGCUGGGAACACCCUUCCCCAGCUGACCCCAGGCUCCCUCCUCACCUCUCCAGUGCCCUCUCAAAGGCCCUGUUCAUAGUGAGGCCGCCCUGACCACCCUAUUUAAAACUGCAAACAGGCUGGGUGCAGAGGCUCAUGUUUGUAAUCCCAGCACUUUGGGGGGCCAAGGUAGGAGGAGUGCUUGAGCCCAGAAGGUUGAGGCUGCAGUGAGCCACGAUUGCAGCACUGCAUGCUAGCCUGGGUGACAGAGCAAGAUCCUGUCUCCAAGAAAACUCCCCAAAUCCCAAAAAACAAAAAUCACUGCAAAUCGGCCCUGUACCUCCCCACUGGCACUCUGUGUCCCCUUGCCCUGACCCAUGGCAUUUUCCUCCAUAGUGCUGGCCUCCACUCAGCUGACAGCCUGUAUCCGUUCCUUCUUUGCCUGGUGAUUGUCUGUCUUCCCCACCACGGCAGCUCCAUGCAGGGUCUACUAAAGAGGAGAAGGCAUGGCUCUUGCCCAAGACAAGCUGACAGUCUGAGACUGGUGUGAGGAAGCCACUUGAUCAAGUCUAAGUCUUCAUUUUAUAGUUCAAGAAACCAAGUCUCAGAGGGGGGCAGGGACUUGUCCAAGGUCACACAGCCAAUCCACAGCCCAGACAGUGCUGGAUGCAGUCUCUGGAUUCCUGGCUGGGAGUAUUUCUACAAUAUCCUGCACUUAAACAGUUCCGUUUGGCGGAAGCUCUGCUGUUCUGGAAGAGACGCCAGGCCUUUCCAGAAUCCUGUCCAAGGCUGUCUUCCAGCAUCUGCUGUCAAGGCGCACUCCUUAGGGAGCAGCUGUUGGCAAAGUGAGGGGAGAUAUUGAUUAUGUCUAGGGUUGUGGGGAGGGUGGUUUGGGGAAGUAGGGGGGAUGGGGAAGAGCAGUGGAAGUUUCUCUGAAAAACUAAAAGCGUAUUUAUUUAUUUAGACUUUUGCUUAUCUGUAUAAUUCUUCUACGGUUAUAUAAUUAGUAUUUUAUAUUUGAAAGGGAUGAACUGUUUAAUUAGACAGGGCCUGGGAAUCCAGGAUUGUCUCAGCUCUGACAGGCUGUGUGGAUGUCAUGAGAUCCCCCCUUCCCUUUCUCUGGGCCUUUCUUAGCAAUGCUGGUAAUAACGUUGCCCUGUGAGAGGUAAAUGAAUCACAGGCUCCCUGGCUGAGGAAAUAGCUGUCCAGCCUAUUCAUAAUGUUACCCUGUCUGAAAGCAGCAACCAAGGCAUGAGGUCCAGAGAAAAACCAAAGUUCAGAGAAGCCCACUGUGGCCAUGUGUACGUCCAGGGCUGUCUGGAAGGUCAGGGAGAUUGUCUGAGACCCAUGCCUGUCCCAGUCCCCACAGAGAGCCCCCUGCAUGGGUGGAGAUCAUUCUUCACCUUGGCUUCACCAAGGUCUGCAGGAAGCACCUCCCAACAAGAAUUCCUCUCUCCUUUGCUCAGCUCCCAGGCCCAUCAGACAAUAGCAUCCUAGAGCCCUGGCUCCCAGGAGGGAAGGAGAUGGAGGAGAGGAUAAAAGCAUUCCUGUCAGUAGAAAGGAGAGUGCUCUGUGUCAGUGCUAAGUGUUGUGAGGAGGCAUCAUCUUGACUGACAGCUUAGGGUCAGCCUGUCAGACCUCUCUGGGUGUCUGGAGAAAGGUCAGUGUCAGGACCUGCCAGGUGAGGGCCAGACUCCAGGCUGAGACCUGCCACCCAGUGAAGGGGCUAAAUUUCGUCAAUAUAUGUGCAGUGCUUAGCACAGCGCCUGGCAUAAAAUUAGUGGACAAUAAAAACCACUCAGUGAAAGUUCGCUGUGCCCUAACUGGAAGCAGGGUGGAGGCAUGAGUGCAGACAGGGAGAACGACUCCAUCCUGGCCCAUUCGCCCAGUACGCCCCUGUCUUUGGAAGCAGGCUCAGCUUGCACCCUCUCUUGCCUCUGACCCUCACCACCAUCUCUGUCACUCCUGGGCCCUGAGGGAGCACCUCGCUGCCUGUUCGGAGCGGUGGUGUCACUUUCUGGUCUUCCCCUGAUCUCCAGGACUGAGGGAGGGGUCAUGGCUUCCCACCCCUGAAGUAUCCCCUGCUACUGCCACCCAUCCCUCACACCCUACUAGCACUGGGCUGGACCUCAAAAGCCAGGAAUUAGAGGUAGGGCUGGGACCCCGACUGUCAGGGUUGGAAGGCCCCCAGCGAGUGCCUUGCUUGCCACUCCUCCAGGGAUGUGCAUGUCGGGGAACUGAGGCCCAAAGAGGAAGUUCCCCCUUUGCACGGUGAGUCUGGAUGUUUCUCCAACCUCCUCUGCUCUCUGGGGGUCCCCAGAGCCGCUGGGAGACCAUAUAUCCCCCCACGCCCCUGUGGCCACACCUCACCUGGUCUUCAUUUGCUCUGUGGCUCUGUCUGGGGUAACUCUCGCCAAGCAGGGUCAGCCCCCGGGGAGCAGGCCGCUAAUGAGCUUCAGAUGCUGGGGCCAGACUCGGUCUUGCUGCAGGCAGAUGCUCAGAUGCUUUGGCUGGUUGAGGCUGCCUGGCCAGUGGGGAUGGUUCGGAGAGGACACCUCCCCACCCUUCACAGGUUACCCCAUUCCUGACUUGCACUGGGCAUAGCAGGUGCCAGUGUUUAACCCCCAAAACCCCAGCCAGGGCAGCUGUUUCAAGAUCUGGAAAAGGAGAGACGAGCGGGAGGACAAAUGCAUUUCCAUCGCUUGGGAACUUCAUUCUUCUUCUCCCAGGCCUUUUCCUGGGUCCUGAGCUGGGGUUUCCACCAAGGUAGCAGCAGGGAGGGGGAAGAGAGAGGGACAAGCUGCUUUCUGACAGCCAACCACACACAGGCUGGGCUGGGCACAAAUGUCAUCUUCUCCAAAUCUCACUGGAACCCCACAGUGUUAGGACCGCCACCAAGCACUUCAUGGAGGAGGAAACGGAGGCUCAGAGCGGGAAGAUGACUUGUCCAAGGUUACACAGCCCCGGAGUGGCCAACUAGGGUUCCAGCCACCUCUGUCAGAGCCCACACUCCACCCUGCAGCAAGCUGGCAUGUUUCUGCAAGACCAGAAUGGUAUACUGUGAUCUCGAAGCUUUGUGAAUGGUGAGGGCCACACAGGUUUCAGACACUCAGGCUGCCUCUGCCGCUGACUCACUCCCUCAUCUUGACAAGGCAGCAGAUUUCACAUCUACAAAAUGGGGAUCAUCAGCGUGAGUUUAGGUGAGGUAAUGGUAACUGCCAUCAUCACAUUCUCAGCCAUGCCCAGAACACAUCCUGGGAGCCAGACCCACUGCGGGGGGACUUUCUGUUGGGGAGCUAUAAAGCAUGUGGAUUCUAAAGCUCUGCUAUCUACUAGCUGUGUGACCCUGGCCAAGUUACUGUGCCUCUCUGUGCCUGCAUUUUCUCAUCUGUGAAAUCAGGAUGAUAUUAGUUCCUGUCUCAGAGUUGUUGUGGAGCUGGGUGAGUGAUAAAGGGAUUGGAAGG